ensembl:lncRNA
CGAGGAAAGUCAUCCCUUUAUUUCUGUCCUUUCUCCAACAAUUUUAUACAGUAGCACAUACGUGGUACAUUGUGGGAACAAAAAGAUAAUUUGGGAUAUGUUAACAUCAUCAUGUGAAAGCAUUGUACCUUGUGUUAACAUACCAAGUUGCUAACUUAUACCGUACCUUACUCUGUUUUGAUGUAAUGUCAAAUGUGUAUAGUUGUAACAGCCAUAACGGUUCCUCUGUGUGAUAUUCUGGCCAUUUUAUCUCUGACACCCACAAGAAAGGCAUAACUAUCUGUUUGAAAGGGAAAUGGGCAGCAGCAGAUAAAACCAAGGGGAUAUAGGCAUGAUAGAUUAAACAAACAGUGUGUUAUUAUAAGCUGAAAUAUGAAAUGUGAGAGUUUCAUAAACAGGAAAAUACAAUGUGUGCCCUCUUAGUGUAUUUACUGCCCUCAGCACAUAAUCUGCUGGAUCCAUCGGAUCGGAGGUUGUUUUUUUUUUUUUUUUUACAGAAAGGCAGAUUAAAAUGACUAAUUUACUAAACUUCAGUGAAAGAAGAGGCAGGAAAUCUGGGAAAAUAAUCAGAAAUCCCGACUAUGAAACAAAGACGAGGGUGAUGAAGAUGAUGGUGAAGAGAAAAACUGUAGCGUGUUCAACACGUGGCUGUCUCAGCUGACCUGUUAAAUCUUACAGACAAUACAAAUAACGAUGAUUUUCUUGCACUCGAAAGGAUUGAAGGAUUUUCAAGUGAGCUCACUCUCACAAUAGUGGGGCGUCCAGGACAGGAGGGAUACGCGGCCUGGACCCCGAACAGCACAAUGCGCAAAAGCAAAAUGGGGAGCAUGAAAUGAGGGCUCAAAAACCUCCACACCGCUUAGCUUUGAGUGCUUCGUCAUAACAAAGCUGACCACCACUGCUCACCAGGAUUGAGACAAUACAUUCAGCAGUGACAGCCAGUGCUAUUGUGUAGGCCUGUGUUAAAAUGAAAUUUAAAAAAAAAGCAAUCAUGAAAAAACGGAACACAACUGUGAGCGAAGGCACAACCUUACAGUAGGAUUGCAGGACCUCUGUUUUAUUUUUGAGCGCCAUCAGAGUGGAUCAGUUAAAAUAAAUUCCUGAUCAACAUCCUACAGUGCCUGUAAAGUCUCUCAGCACAUCCACAGUCUGAAGCAAGUUUUAGCUCCCCUCCCUAAAAGCUCACUGUCUUCUGACUAGCAAGCUUACUGAGACCGUCUCAUCCUCGUGUCAUGUGGAAGCUUCAGAAGCAAAAUAGAAAAAACUGUUUCUCUUUCUUGGUUGCAAAUUGCAAUCUCUCAAAUUCAUCUUUGCCCGUUCAGAUCUGAUCUGGAAUACAACCAGCAUGAAU